rnacentral:rRNA from 1 species
UACGGAGGGUGCAAACGUUGCUCGGAAUCAUUGGGCGUAAAGCGCACGUAGGCGGCCCACCAAGUCGGACGUGAAAGCCCUCAGCUCAACUGAGGAAGUGCGCCCGAAACUGCAUGGCUUGAGUACCGGAGAGGAUGGCGGAAUUCCCCAAGUAGAGGUGAAAUUCGUAGAUAUGGGGAGGAACACCGGUGGCGAAGGCGGCCAUCUGGACGGAUACUGACGCUGAGACGCGAAAGCGUGGGUAGCAAACAGG